rnacentral:tRNA from 1 species
AAGGUUACUAAAAUAGAGCUGCUAACUCUAUUAUAAUGAAAUCAUUUAACCUUU